GACGAACGCUGGCGGCAUGCCUAACACAUGCAAGUCGAACGAGACCUUCGGGUCUAGUGGCGCACGGGUGCGUAACGCGUGGGAAUCUGCCCUUGGGUUCGGAAUAACUCAGAGAAAUUUGAGCUAAUACCGGAUGAUGACGUAAGUCCAAAGAUUUAUCGCCCAAGGAUGAGCCCGCGUAGGAUUAGCUAGUUGGUGAGGUAAAGGCUCACCAAGGCGACGAUCCUUAGCGGUCUGAGAGGAUGAUCAGCCACACUGGGACUGAGACACGGCCCAGACUCCUACGGGAGGCAGCAGUGGGGAAGUAUUGGACAAAUGGGCGAAAGCCUGAUCCAGCAAUGCCGCGUGAGUGAUGAAGGCCUUAGGGUUGUAAAGCUCUUUUACCCGGGAUGAUAAUGACAGUACCGGAGAAUAAGCUCCGGCUAACUCCGUGCCA
rnacentral:rRNA from 1 species